UCGGACGUGGUGCAGUGCAACACGGCCUCUCUGCCUGUUAGAUCUAUUUCCUCCGGCAGAGGCAAUCCCGGGUUCGAUUCCCGGCGUCCGAA